AGGUCCGCGUCGUUACCAAGGCGAUAAGAAGGUGAUGUCUAUGCAACAAGGUGGAAUCAGGAGUACCCCUAUGCAGCCGAAAUCUAAGAAAUAUAUUAACCAGAUGUUAACUUUCCACCAUAUGAAACACCAUGAAAAGAAAAUAAGGCUGGCAAAACCCGCCAUUGACAGCAAGAUGCCGAACACCUUUAAAUAUGCAUUAGACCGGAAGCGUUUGGUUGAU